rnacentral:rRNA from 1 species
GAUGAACGCUGGCGGCGUGCCUAAUACAUGCAAGUCGAGCGAACAGAUGAGGAGCUUGCUCCUCUGACGUUAGCGGCGGGCGGGUGAGUAACACGUGGAUAACCUACCUAUAAGACUGGGAUAACUUCGGGAAACCGGAGCUAAUACCGGAUAAUAUAUUGAACCGCAUGGUUCAAUAGUGAAAGCCGGUUUUGCUGUCACUAAUAGAUGGAUCCGCGCCGCAUUAGCUAGUUGGUAAGGUAACGGCUUACCAAGGCAACGAUGCGUAGCCGACCUGAGAGGGUGAUCGGCCACACUGGAACUGAGACACGGUCCAGACUCCUACGGGAGGCAGCAGUAGGGAAUCUUCCGCAAUGGGCGAAAGCCUGACGGAGCAACGCCGCGUGAGUGAUGAAGGUCUUCGGAUCGUAAAACUCUGUUAGUAGGGAAGAACAAAUGUGUAAGUAACUAUGCACGUCUUGACGGUACCUAAUCAGAAAGCCACGGCUAACUACGUG